rnacentral:tRNA from 7 species
GGAAGCGUGGCCGAGUGGUUGAAGGCGGCGGUCUUGAAAACCGUUGUGCUGAAAGGCACCAGGGGUUCAAAUCCUCUCGCUUCCGCCA